AAAUACUUGGAUGAACAUGUUGAUAAAGUUGAAUUGAAGCCAGGUAGUGGUGUAUACAAACCUGACAACGAGUGGGUGCAGUGUGACAAAUGUAGAAAGUGGAGAAUGUUGAGCCAUGGCUUCAACAGCAAGACUUUACCACUUCAGUGGUUCUGUUACAUGAAACCUUUUAACGGGGAAUGCGAGAGAUCAGAGCAGGAAGUUGAACCUGGAGUGAUAACGAUAUCCAGCAAGCGUCUGGGAUACAGUUCCACUGAAGAUCCCGA
rnacentral:misc_RNA from 1 species